UUACUUUGUGUGAUUCAUAGAAAUAGCCGGUCUACUAUUUCUUUGGUGUGAUUCAAAAGGCAUUUUUGUGAACGAAAUACCCGCUUAUUUUACGUUAUAACGACUGGCUAGUUAUGGAAAUGAUAACUCAAUAUUGUGAUGGUAUUUGUUAAUGUUGUGAAAUUCGACCAUGGAUAAAGAGACAACAAUUGGGCUAUUCCAAUUAUUAUCCGCACCCCCCUGUUGAGGAACCAUGGAAUUUCCAGGGGAGGGGGUGUAUUACCCUUGGAAUUUCCAGGGGAGGGGGUGUAUUAACCUUGAAAUUUCCAGGGGAGAGGUACAUUAACUUUAAAUUUCCAGGGGAGGGAAUACAUUAACCCUGGAAUUUCCAGGGGAGGGGGUGCAUUAACCCUGGAAUUUCCAGGGAAGGGGGCAUUCGGGCUCUGGAUUUCCAAGGGGAGGAGUAAUUCUCACAUGGAAUUUCCAAAGGGAGGGGUAAAUUUGAUGGGAUGGAAAUUCCAUGGGAGGACAAUUAUGUUAGAGGGAAAUGUCCAGAAGUAAAUGUCCCAUAAUGGAAAUUCCAUAGGGAGGGGUAAUUUACACAUGGAAAUUCCAUGGACAGGGCCUAAUUUAAAAUGGAAAUUCCAUGGGGAAGGGUAAUUUUUACAAGGAAAUUCCAUGGGAAGGGGUAAAUUUUAGAUGAAAAUUUACGGAAAUUCCAGGGGAGUACCGACAUGAGAAAGGGGUUCCUCAACAGGGGGGGGGUGCAGAUAAUAAUUGGAAUAGCCCAUUGAAUGAAAGAACACCCUGUCUUAUUGUAAAUGGUAAGUUUUUAAAGGUUUUCACUUUUCGGUAAUAUUUUUUUAUAGUUAGACCCUUUAAGUGGCAAUGCGCCAUGAUGCGCCCUACUUUAGUAUUUUACUCUGUCUAACGCCAGAGUAUUUUACUCUGUCUAAUGCCAGACAAUUUUACUCUGUCUAACGCCAGACAAUUUUACUCAUCAAGUGGAGAGUGCCGCCACUCUAUGGGUUAAAGCUCAAUCUUCUCUCGAAUCUAAACUUUGGUAGAGUCAUAGAUAUCUUAUAUACACUAGAUAGUGCAUCUAAUUAUUCUGCAAUUCAAAAAUUGAAGCCGUGAUUGCAGUCUCAGGUCGUUCCCAUGAAAUGAGAAGAUUCGUAUGUUUUCCAUUUCUUAAACAGAUAACUUAAACAUUAAGUUAAACCUAUUCCAAAUACAUUUUUAAACUAUUCAAAUGAUGAAAGUUAUUGACUUCUUGUUGUUUUUAAGUGUUUAUUAGCAAGUGGGAAUUACAACCAAUAUGGCCGCCAUCUAUUCAAAUGGGGGUAACCGCUGGAAUAUUCUUGAAUUGGCUUCAAUUUUACUAAAACAGAUGCGCUAUCUAGUGUAUAUAAGAUAUCUAUGCCAUGGGUAGAGUCCAUCGAGGAGUCCGUAGACAAUUUUGGCUAACAUUGUUUUUAACUCAUGGAGCCGCAAUGCGCCCAACUUAUUUUUUUACUUGCCUAACGCCAGAUGAUUUUACUCGUCAAUGUGGAAGCUGUGCAACUUAACGGGUUGACCAAAAAAUCUGACAAUAUCUCUUAAAAUAGUUAACCAAUAAUUGAGCCCCAGUGCACCCUACUUGUUUUUUUUUUACUUGUCUAACGCCAGACGGUUUUAGUAUUUUACUUGUCAAUGGGGAAGCUGCAUGUGCAACUUACUAACAGGUUGAUAAAAAAAUCUGACAAUGUUUCUAUAGUUAACCCAUUGAGCGGCCCAUGCAGUGUGCCCUACUUGUUUUUUUACUUGUCUAAUGCCAGAUGAUUUUAGUAUUUUACUUGUCAAUGGGGAAGUUGUGUAACUUAACAGGUUGACCAAAAAAUCUGACAAUGUUUCAGUGCCGUAGCCAGAACGAUAAUUGGGGGGGGGGGGAUAUUCAUAUAUUCGUGUUCACAUACCAUAAAAACAAUUGAUUUCAAAAGAAAUUAAUAAAGCAGAACAUGCAUGAAUAUAUGAAUAUUUGCCCCCAUUUAUUAUUAGUGUUCUGGCUACUGCACUGCAAUAAUAUUUCUAUAGCUAAUAAUGAUCUUGUUGCCACCUAAUGGGCCACUUCCAUUUAAUAUUCAAUACCCCCCAAUGGAUGUUCAAAAGACUUCAGUAAAAUUUUAAUCCUAGUAGGAAAAAGAUCAAAGCUAGUGCAACACAAAACACCCCUCAGAAAUUUGUAAAUUUUCCCUUACCCCUCAGAAAUAUCGCAGAGAUCAAAGGUGCCAACAGGCUUAACCCCUCAGAAAUAAGUUGCCCUUCAGAAAAAUUCUUCCAUUUUUUCUUUGUUAGAAUUAUAUGAGUUUGGAACACCAUUUAACAUUUGUUUUGUUAAAAAUUAACUUAAAAUAUAUUCAUAAUAUGUGUAUAUUCAAAGUUAUUUUUUAAUAUUAUAUAUUUGAAACAUAGCAAUUAAGACAUCAAUUUAGAUAGCAAGAAAUAAAAAUAUAAUGUACAUAUGCAACUUUUCCAAGGGGUUCCCGCAAGUUUCUUACAUAUGGAGCAUUAAGCUGCAGAGCUUCCCCAUUGAUGAGUGAAAUGGUCUGGCAUUGCACAAGUAAAAAAAGUAGGGUGCACUAGAGCGCAUUGCGGCUCAAUGGGUUAAUAGGUUAACUGCACACAUGAGCAGUCUGAUUAACACAUUGAGUGACAGCGCUCUCCCUAUCUAUCCAUGCAAGUUUUUUACAGUUUUUCAGGCAUUUUAUAUAGAGAAUAAUACAUGUGUGUGUCCGUGCGUGGAAAUACCAGAUUUAUUUUGAGUGUUGAAAAUGAUAUCAUGUUCAACACGAGAAAUAUAUCUGAUAUUUCCAAGCACUCAUGUAUUUUAAUUUUUGUUUAUUAUAUAAAGGACAGUCUUUGAUGAAAAGCGAUAAUUUUUACAGAAAAGCGAUAAUUGAAAAGCGAUAAUUUUCACAUGUGAGAUUAUCAGUUUUAUCAAUGCUUGAAAUCUCUUUCAAAAACUCAUUAAUAAUUCAUAUGAAGCAAUUAUCCAAUCUUGAGUAAGAAAUUAGUCACGUGCAUACGUCUUUAUACCAGCUAAAGAACACUUUAACAAAAGACCAUUGUUAUGCAAACCAUAUAAAAUUUUUAUAUAAAGAUUUUUAUAUAAAGAUUUUUAUAUAAAGAUUUUUAUAUAAAGAUUUUUAUAUAAAGAUUUUUAUAUAAAGAUUUUUAUAUAAAGAUUUGACUUAUUAUGCAAACGUUUUUGAAGCCAUUUAAAAAACUCUCAGGUCAUGUUUUAUUAGCCAGGUCUAAAGCCACUGGUGCGCUUUAAACCUAACAAUUAAAACACUCCUGCUCGUUUUUAAAUAGUACAUAAAGCACAGACUAUACUUUAUACAAUGUUAAAAUGCUGGUAAUAAAUUGCUUUUCAACAGUUUAGUAUUAUAAGGCCACAUAAAAAAAUCUAUUUACAGUAUUUCACCUAUUUAAAUUUUUCUGGGUAGGGUGGGCGGGGUUUUUUCUUUUGUAGAAUGCAACACAAACUUCUGAAAUAUAAGUUUUUUUCGCAGCAUGCAAUACAAAAUUCUGUUACAGGGUGUUUGAAAAGCUAUUAAUGCAGGAAUUCCAGCAUACCAUGUACCACAGUCAAAACUCACUUUAAUUCUUUCAAAAUCCCUUCAUAUUUUUUAAUACCGUUCAUGUUUUAUGAAUAAAACAAAACAUUACAAUGGGCUAUUCCAAUUAUUAUCCACACCCCCCUGUUGAGGAACCCUGUUCUCAUGUCAAGACUUAGCUCCCCUGGAAUUUCCACAAAUUUUCAUGUAAAAUUUACAUGGAAUUUCCUUGUAAAAAUUACCCUUUCCCAUGGAAUUUCCAUUUUAAAUUAGGCCUUCCCCAUGGAAUUUCCAUUUAAAAUUUGGCCCUGCCCAUGGAAUUUCCAUGUGUAAAUUACCCCUUCCUAUGGAAUUUCCAUCAUAUGGGACAUUUACAGUUUACUCCCGGAAUUUCCCUCUAACAUAGUAUGUCCUCCCAUGGAAUUUCCAUCCCAUGAAAUUUACACACUCCUGGGUGCGGAUAACAAUUUACCGAUUUACGCGAACACUUUACCUGCAAACAGGCAUAUUCUUGGAAGGAAAUAUUUCAUGUAAACGUAUUAGAUUACAUAGCUCCUGGAAGAAUGAAAUCAUCAUUUUUUACAAGUAAAACCGUCUUUUUUAUAGAGAGUUUUUGCACUGAACUCGGACAGAUUUUGGAGGAAAAAAAUUGGAGGUCAGGGACUUUUGUCAGGCCGGGCGGAGACACUAAACAAGUAAGUUUUUUUAUGUGGCCUAAAACAGAUUUUUAAAGAGAAAUUCAUGGCAACAUUGCCAGCUGAGUACAUUGCAAUAUUGUCACGCAAUAUUGAUUGCUCUAGCAAACUGCAACCAACGCGAACAAUGUGCAAUUUUUAGGUACAGUUGAAAUUAUUGGGUGUGUUGACAAUUUGUUGAGAGGUCUUGCCCAAAUGUCAGAUGCCAAGCAUUUGAUUGGCUUGUUUUGUACUGGUAGUCAGCCAGUCAGACUUAAUUUACAAACUUGCUUGCAAAUCAAAUAAUGAACUUUUGAAUUUUGCAGUUGGCGGUUUAAUACUGUUUAUAUGGUACUCUACGUAAAGUUGCAAUUUGUUCAUGUCGGUUGCAAUUUGCUAGAGCAAUCAGCCAGAUUCGACUGUAAUUAGGGGCCGCGUCAUAUUGCCAUGCUUAGCGUCAAAUUGACGUUAAGAGUGGGUGAUUCGUGGCAUAAUGACAAUUUUGUGAACAUUUUGAAGAAUUUGAGGUCAACUCAUCAUUUGAGGUGAGAUCAUCAAUUCAAAAUAAUUAAAACCUCGCUAUUUCCUGGCUAAAGCAUGACUGCCACGCUUGACGUUAAUGAGGGUGGGUUUGAGUGUUAACGUCAAUUUGACGCUAAGCGUGGCAACACGAAUAUGGACGCGGCCCCUUACAUAUGUUAUAUGUCUAAGUUCAUCCUCAAAUGAAAAACUGAAGGUUCAUCUAUCUAAGGUUUACAUUCUACAGCACUUAAACAGCUGUUACACAGUGUAAGUUCCAAAGAAUUAGCCGUAUUUUAUACACUUUUAAAGAAUAAAUUAUUAACCAAUUACAUUGUCUCAUUCAAUACCGUAAACCUCCGACUAUAAGCCCUGAGUGGGCUUAUAUACUUUCGUAAGCGAUUUUUGAUAGGCUUAUACAAGGGGGGGGCUUAUAUCCGGGGGGGGGGGCUAAUACAUGGACGAUAUUUUGUGUUAGUAAUAAAUAAGUCAAACAUAAACAAGUCAGUCAUAAACAGGAAAAUAAACAUGUAUUAAUAACGCUCUGAUUAACAUAGUAAGCUAUAAAGACAAUGACAAUGUUUUUAAAUAUCGUUCUCUGCUAUAUUAAAAGACGACAUUAUGUCAAUGUUGAAUAACAUAGUGGGCCAUUGGGCUUAUAUUUGGGGGACUUAUAUUCGGGUGGGCUUUAAUAUUCGGGUGGGCUUAAUAAUAUUUGAGGGCUUAUAUUUGGAAUGAGGAGAGCGUUAAUAUAUGUGGUUGGCUUAUAUUCGGGGGGCUUAUAUUGGGGGGGGGCUUAUAGUCGGAGGUUUACGGUACACUAAUCACACGUACAUGAUAUUUAUAUUAGUACUUUGAAUUACACACCAAGAUAAUUAUCUAAACAAUCCUAUAUCAUAAUAUUGUUCAACCCAUUGAGCUGCAAUGUGCCCCAGUGUACUUUUUUUUUACCUGUCUAACACCAGGCGCCGGUUGUAUCAAGCCCGUUUAGCUUAAACGGUGGUUACGCUCAAAAUAGAAAGCAAGUCUAUAGAAUCAUUCAACAACCAAACUAAAAGUUUUGAACUUUAAUAGAACGAUAAUGUUUACAACUACAUAUUCAGUGCAGAAUAUUUAAGUUGACUGAUUCACGAAAAGAAAAGAGUGUUACUGAAUUUUGACUUAUCCACUGUUUAAGCUAAACAGGCCCCAGGCGACAACCGGCCCCAGGCGAUUUUACUCAUCAAUGGCGAAGCUCUGCAACUGACAAUGGGUUAAUUCACUUUUAUUAAAUCUGUUUGACCCUUUAACUGGGUAAUAUAUGCAUCCCGAUGAGCCCUAUACUUUAUUAAUUCACUCUGUAUGUACUAUUUACAGGGAUGGAUCCAGCAUGAUCUGGUAGGGGGGUGCUCUGGUGCCGACUGCCGAGUUGUGUCGGUCAUGUGUGUUGCCGGCCCAUCAACUACUGUAUUUGAAUUGUAAUUGUUGUUCACAGUUCACUUAUCAUCAUGUUAUUACUCAAAUUACUGUAUCUCGAUUUCUUUUUUUUGCUUUAUCAUAAAAAAUAGCCCCCAGUGCGCACCCCCCCCGCACCCCCCCCCAUAAAUCCAUCCCUGACUAUUUACCCUUGAUAAUUUAUUAACUUCCAUCUACCAGACCCUUCAACUAUUAUUCUAUCGAGUGAGAUGCAACAAAAUCUUGAUAUCUAACUACUACUGUAUACUGACACUGGAUGAUUGUGCAAUAUUCUCCUUUUAAUGAGUAAAAUCACCUGCCAUUAGUCAUAAUACAACAAUAAAGUUUGGGAGCAUUGAAGCUAAUUACUUAAUCUUACUCAUCUUAGGCAACAUCAAUCCAACUAUGUAACAAAAUACUAAUGUGUACAAGCCAAUCAAGUCCAACGUAUUGUCAUUUUUGGAUGUUGUAAAACAGUUCAUGAAAAGGUCAGUUUCAAUUACAGUAGUUUGGAUUGUUACCAAAGUACCAUUAUACAAGAAUGAUAUGAAAAUUUUCCUUUAAUGGUCCCCCUGGUCCGGCAUUUUCAGCCACUUUUUCGAUCUCUGAAAAAGGGGCGAAAAUCGUCCAAAAAGUAAGGCUAUAGCCUUAACUUUUCGUCCAUUUUCAGCCACUUUUUCGAUUUUUGAAAAAGGGGCGAAAAUCGUCCAAAAAGUAAGGCUACAGCCUUAACUUUUCGUCCAUUUUUGGCCACUUUUCCAUUUUUGAAAAAGGGGCGAAAAUCGUCCAAAAAGUAAGGCUAUUAUUAUUAUUAUUAUUAUUAUUAUUAUUAUUAUUAUUAUUAAAGCUUUUAUUUGCAUGACCUAGUUACAGGUAUUGCUAAACGUAUAUAUAUAUAAAAAAGUUAUAGUAAAUAACAACUAAUUUUACUGUAGUUACAACAUUAAGUGGAUAAAGAGAUAUAUACAAUAGAUAAUAUAUAAUAGAAAUAUAGGAAAAUUAGUUAGUAUCUCUUGUUUGAAGGCUUUUGUCUCUAAUGUUAAAACAUUUUGCAAUGAAUUUUGAAAAUAGAUCGAUUAAAACUGAAUCAGUACUUGAAAUAACAUGACUCAAUAAGUUUUGCUUUGACUCUGUUACGAGAGUCAUUUGAAAAAUGUUUUUCAGCAUAUUGCUGGAAUC